AGUUUGAUCCUGGCUCAGAAUGAACGCUGGCGGCAGGCCUAACACAUGCAAGUCGAGCGGGGACUUCGGUCCUAGCGGCGGACGGGUGAGUAACGCGUGGGAACAUACCCUUUGGUACGGAAUAGCCUCGGGAAACUGAGAGUAAUACCGUAUGUGGUCGUAAGACGAAAGAUUUAUCGCCAAAGGAUUGGCCCGCGUUGGAUUAGGUAGUUGGUGGGGUAAUGGCCUACCAAGCCGACGAUCCAUAGCUGGUUUGAGAGGAUGAUCAGCCACACUGGGACUGAGACACGGCCCAGACUCCUACGGGAGGCAGCAGUGGGGAAUCUUAGACAAUGGGCGCAAGCCUGAUCUAGCCAUGCCGCGUGAUCGAUGAAGGCCUUAGGGUUGUAAAGAUCUUUCAGUGGGGAAGAUAAUGACGGUACCCACAGAAGAAGCCCCGGCUAACUCCGUGCCAGCAGCCGCGGUAAUACGGAGGGGGCUAGCGUUAUUCGGAAUUACUGGGCGUAAAGCGCACGUAGGCGGAUUAACAAGUCAGAGGUGAAAUCCCAGGGCUCAACCUUGGAACUGCCUUUGAAACUGUUAGUCUUGAGGUCGUGAGAGGUGAGUGGAAUUCCGAGUGUAGAGGUGAAAUUCGUAGAUAUUCGGAGGAACACCAGUGGCGAAGGCGGCUCACUGGCGCGAUACUGACGCUGAG
rnacentral:rRNA from 1 species